GAUGAACGCUGGCGGCGUGCUUAACACAUGCAAGUCGAACGAAGCACAUUGCUUGAAGUUUUCGGAUGGAAAGGAAUGCGACUGAGUGGCGGACGGGUGAGUAACGCGUGGGUAACCUGCCAUGUACAGGGGGAUAACAACUGGAAACGGUUGCUAAUACCGCAUAAGCGCACGGUAUCGCAUGAUACAGUGUGAAAAAUUCCGAUGGUAUAUGAUGGACCCGCGUCUGAUUAGCUAGUUGGUGAGGUAAUGGCCCACCAAGGCGACGAUCAGUAGCCGACCUGAGAGGGUGACCGGCCACAUUGGGACUGAGACACGGCCCAGACUCC
rnacentral:rRNA from 1 species